rnacentral:lncRNA from 10 species
AUUUUACGACAAGUAAUGGCUAAUUUGCCUUCCAAAUGCUGAACCAGAGUAUAGCCCCAUCAGCAGAAUGAGUACAUCUCUUCCUACAUCCUUAUAGUGAUGGAUAUAAUCAAUCUUGGUUUUUGUUUUGUCAGAUGAUUUUAAGCAUUUCUUCAUGUUUAUUAGCCAUUUGUUUAUUAUUUCCUAUAAAUUACCUGUUUA